UCAGGCGGUUAGAGCUGCGGUGUUCCACCUCUUCCCAUUCCGAACAGAGAAGUUAAGCCCGCCCGCGCCGAUGGUACUGCAAUGCAAUGCGGGAGAGUAGGUCGCCGCCCUCU
rnacentral:rRNA from 1 species